GUCUCUUUCCCUCUCACGUUUUUGAGGUCCUCUCUCCUAAACCUAUCCACAAUCUCGAGUAUGAGAACAAAUACAGCUCCACAAAAGAUCCCAAUUACUACCCCAAGUUUCAAUCCAAAAAUAGAAGUGGUUUUCGAUAACUCAUUGUUCACAAACACAGCAUCGUAAAUAGACAUCUUACUCAGUAAUCAAAAUCACUUCACUGCAUGUGUAUAUUCCAAUUUUCAAUCACUUCAAAUUCACACUAGUAUUUGAAUAUUUUAUUCUGUGAUGAGUAAAAGUUAACAAAAGGGAAGAUUCAAUGAGUAUAGUUUUUGAAUGUUUAAGCACAAUGGGGGUUUUCCGGCAACUUUUGGGUGAUAUAUGCUUGGAUUCUUGAUUUUCCGGUGAGAUUCUGGUCCGAUUCUUGAUUUUCCGGAGAGGUAUGCUGUCGGAUUCUUGGUUUUCUGAAUGUCCUUUGAUAAAUGGAGCAGUAUCAACUUCAAAAAGCAAAUUUGAUGACAAAAUAGAGGCAUCUUCUGCCAAAAUGUACUUUCACUACUAUGGACAGUUAUUGCAUCAGCAGAAUAUGUUGCAGGAUUUUGUAAGGACAGGAACCUGUUAUUCUGCUGUAAUUGAGAACCGUGCUGAUUUUCUUGGUCGCGUAGUGGUUGAUGUUGGCGCUGGUAGUGGCAUUUUGUCAUUAUUUGCAGCCCAGGCUGGUGCAAAGCAUGUUUAUGCCAUAGAGGCUUCUGAAAUGGCCGACUAUGCAAGAAAACUUAUUGCUGGAAAUCCAUCACUGAAUGAAAGAAUUACAAUAAGUGUUCUUUUACUUGUUUAAUCUGGCUCCACUUAGUAUUGGAUUGAGGUGUUGUUGAUUGAUUUAUUGAUCUUUUGCCUUUUCCUGUGUCUUUUCCAAGGCUAUCCGAUAUUCAUAUAGUAUCUUGGUAGUGCUUCUUAUUUUUCUUUUGUUAAUGUUUCAUCUAUGGAUGUUUAGGUAAUCAAAGGAAAGGUUGAAGAUGUAGAGUUACCUGAAAAAGCUGAUAUUUUGAUCUCUGAGCCAAUGGAUGGCAGGUGAAAAGAGGGGUAAGAAAACAAAGAAGGCUAACGAGACAGCGGUUCCCCGGAGACCACCAGAGAACCUUGCGAUUAGAAUGUUUGAAUGUUAAUGUUUGGUGGAUUUGUGGAUUUGCGAGGGUGAAGUAGUCUAAUGUUGUAGACUAACUUAGUGUAGACUAGUUUAAUGUUUUGUGGAUGUUUACAAAUGUUGAAGUAGUUUAAUGUUGUUUUGAUGUUUGCGAAGGUUGAAGUAGCUUAAUUAAUGUCUCUUGUGAAUGUUUGAUUGAUGUUUUUAUUCAACUUUGAAGUAGUUUCGAAUUGAAUUUGA